rnacentral:lncRNA from 1 species
UUUGAUUUUAUUAUUUCCCUUGCGUAUUGUAAAUAAUCCCACAAACAUAUGUGGACUAAAACAUGAUUUGGGUCAAAUUUAUAUUUAUUUAACAUUGUUAUUCCUCGGAUUAAUACCUAUAUUUAUCGCAAUCUGUUGCAUUGCUUCGACAUAAUACGUUUGUAAGAUUGUAAAAUCAUUCAUCAAUCCGAAUAAUUCGCCGUUUCAGAAUCUAAUGCAUCCUGGGUAAUAUUUUCAAAAGUGUACACCAAAACGUCCUGAUUGGUUAAAAAUGUCAUAAACAAUGGAAAUUU